rnacentral:misc_RNA from 1 species
UGUGGGAGCGGGCUUGCUCGCGAUGGCGGUCUGUCUGCCAGCGCAUUUGUUGGAUGUGCCGGCCUCAUCGCGAGCAAGCCCGCUCCCACA